UACAGAGGGUGCGAGCGUUGUUCGGAAUUAUUGGGCGUAAAGGGCGCGUAGGCGGUGCCACAAGUCACCUGUGAAAUCUCUGGGCUUAACCUAGGGGCUGCUAGCGAAACUGCCGUGCUAGAGUGUGAGAGAGGCGAGUGGAAUUACGGGUGUAGCGGUGAAAUGCGUAGAUAUCCGUAGGAACAUCCGAGGCGAAAGCGGCUCGCUGGAUCACAACUGACGCUGAGAGACGAAAGCUAGGGGAGCAAACAG
rnacentral:rRNA from 1 species